UUUUAAAAACAUUUUCUUUUAAAUAGAAAACAUUUUAAAAUUAAAAAAAGUUUUUAUAAAAAAAAGAAAAUUCAUAUUAGUUUUAACUUGGUGUAAAAAGUUUGUUUGAUUAAAAAAAAUUAAAAAAGAAUUUUAAUUUUUGUUUAGUUAAUUGUUUCUACUGCAUUUACAAUUUGUUAUACUCAAUGUGUAAUAUUUUGAGAUUUAUUCGCAUUUUAUAUAGUUUUUAAAAUUUUGCAAUUUUAAAGUAAAUUAAAAAAAAAAAAGAAAAUUAUAAAAGUGUUACUACGAACUGAGUAUGAUUUGGGAAUAGUAUUUAAUUAUUUUUGAAAUUUCAAGAUUUAGAGGCCGAAGAAGACGACAUCGCCUUGGCGAUGUCACCGACUAAUAGACAAAUAGCCAAGACACCAACACCACGCGAUAUCAGCGAAAAUCCCGAUGAACGUGAAACAUGGAGCGGCAAAGUCGAUUUCCUGCUAUCCGUUAUAGGAUUCGCUGUAGAUUUAGCAAACGUAUGGCGAUUUCCUUAUUUAUGCUACAAAAAUGGCGGUGGUAAGUACUUAUUUCCCCUUUACACUUUUCCCCAACCAUUUUUUAAAGGAAAUGGUUAUGUUUUCUAUAAGAUGUGUGUAAGGCAUUUUGACCACCGCAACAAUCAUAAGCUAUGUUGUAUUAAGGGAAUGUAGUAUAUCAGCAUCAACAACAAAAGCUAAUUUGGGGCACUUGUCAGCUUAAUGCCACAGUGAGCACAAUUAGAAUUAUAAAACAAUUUACGCAUGAAGA
rnacentral:misc_RNA from 1 species